GCGGGGUUAGUUCAGUUGGGAGAACGUGUAAGUGCAAGGUUCUGUGGAAUACAUGAGUAAACUAAACGCUAAUAACAUUAACAGCAGACUGAAGUCGUACUUCAAUCAUAUAUCUGAAGGUCGUGCGUUCGAUCCGCACACACCGCA
rnacentral:tRNA from 1 species